CGGCGUGCUUAACACAUGCAAGUCGAACGGAAAGGCCCUGCUUUUGUGGGGUGCUCGAGUGGCGAACGGGUGAGUAACACGUGAGUAACCUGCCCUUGACUUUGGGAUAACUUCAGGAAACUGGGGCUAAUACCGGAUAGGAGCUCCUGCUGCAUGGUGGGGGUUGGAAAGUUUCGGCGGUUGGGGAUGGACUCGCGGCUUAUCAGCUUGUUGGUGGGGUAGUGGCUUACCAAGGCUUUGACGGGUAGCCGGCCUGAGAGGGUGACCGGCCACACUGGGACUGAGAUACGGCCCAGACUCCUACGGGAGGCAGCAGUGGGGAAUAUUGCACAAUGGGCGGAAGCCUGAUGCAGCAACGCCGCGUGCGGGAUGACGGCCUUCGGGUUGUAAACCGCUUUCGCCCGUGACGAAGCGUGAGUGACGGUAAUGGGUAAAGAAGCACCGGCUAACUACGUGCCAGCAGCCGCGGUGAUACGUAGGGUGCGAGCGUUGUCCGGAUUUAUUGGGCGUAAAGGGCUCGUAGGUGGUUGAUCGCGUCGGAAGUGUAAUCUUGGGGCUUAACCCUGAGCGUGCUUUCGAUACGGGUUGACUUGAGGAAGGUAGGGGAGAAUGGAAUUCCUGGUGGAGCGGUGGAAUGCGCAGAUAUCAGGAGGAGCACCAGUGGCGAAGGCGGUUCUCUGGGCCUUUCCUGACGCUGAGGAGCGAAAGCGUGGGGAGCGAACAGGCUUAGAUACCCUGGUAGUCCACGCUGUAAACGGUGGGUACUAGGUGUGGGGUCCAUUCCACGGGUUCCGUGCCGUAGCUAACGCUUUAAGUACCCCGCCUGGGGAGUACGGCCGCGAGGCUAAAACUCAAAGGAAUUGACGGGGCCCCGCACAAGCGGCGGAGCAUGCGGAUUAAUUCGAUGCAACGCGUAGAACCUUACCUGGGUUUGACAUGGAUCGGGAGUGCUCAGAGAUGGGUGUGCCUCUUUUGGGGUCGGUUCACAGGUGGUGCAUGGCCGUCGUCAGCUCGUGUCGUGAGAUGUUGGGUUAAGUCCCGCAACGAGCGCAACCCUUGUUCACUGUUGCCAGCACGUUAUGGUGGGGACUCAGUGGAGACCGCCGGGGUCAACUCGGAGGAAGGUGGGGAUGACGUCAAGUCAUCAUGCCCCUUAUGUCCAGGGCUUCACGCAUGCUACAAUGGCUGGUACAGAGAGUGGCGAGCCUGUGAGGGUGAGCGAAUCUCGGAAAGCCGGUCUCAGUUCGGAUUGGGGUCUGCAACUCGACCUCAUGAAGUCGGAGUCGCUAGUAAUCGCAGAUCAGCAACGCUGCGGUGAAUACGUUCCCGGGGCUUGUACACACCGCCCGUCAAGUCAUGAAAGUUGGUAACACCCGAAGCCGGUGGCCUAACCGUUGUGGGGGAGCCGUCGAAGGUGGGACUGGUGAUUAGGACUAAGUCG
rnacentral:rRNA from 1 species